UACGAAGGGGGCUAGCGUUGUUCGGAAUCACUGGGCGUAAAGGGCGCGUAGGCGGCCGAUCAAGUCGGGGGUGAAAGCCUGUGGCUUAACCACAGAAUGGCCUUCGAUACUGUUUGGCUUGAGACCGGAAGAGGUUAGUGGAACUGCGAGUGUAGAGGUGAAAUUCGUAGAUAUUCGCAAGAACACCAGUGGCGAAGGCGGCUGACUGGUCCGGUUCUGACGCUGAGGCGCGAAAGCGUGGGGAG
rnacentral:rRNA from 1 species